CCUACGGGAGGCAGCAGUAGGGAAUUUUCGUCAAUGGGCGCAAGCCUGAACGAGCGAUGCCGCGUGAGUGAAGAAGGCCUUCGGGUCGUAAAGCUCUGUUGCGGGGGAAAAAAGGCAGCAUCAGGAAAUGGGUGCUGACUGAUGGUGCCCCGCCAGAAAGUCACGGCUAACUACGUGCCAGCAGCCGCGGUAAUACGUAGGUGGCGAGCGUUAUCCGGAAGGAUUGGGCGUAAAGGGUGCGCAGGCGGUCCUGCAAGUCUGGAGUGAAACGCAUGAGCUCAACUCAUGCAUGGCUUUGGAAACUGGAGGACUGGAGUGCAGGAGAGGGCGGUGGAACUCCAUGUGUAGCGGUAAAAUGCGUAGAUAUAUGGAAGAACACCAGUGGCGAAGGCGGCCGCCUGGCCUGUUGCUGACGCUGAGGCACGAAAGCGUGGGGAGCAAAUAGGAUUAGAUACCCUAGUAGUC
rnacentral:rRNA from 1 species